UACGACACAUGACACAGACAUGAAGACCAUGAACCAAGAAAGCAUGAUUGUUUUUACAAUAAGAAGUUCUGGUAUUCAGAUUCUGAUAUUCAGCGACAUAUAUUUUACGACACUAUAGUUACAGACAAUACUGUUUCACAACUGUAGGGGGACCCCAGGAGCAAAUACUCUAUUGUGUUACUUUAACAAAAAGGUUUUUGUGUUUCCAUGUGGACCAAAAUACCCUUGUACGUGUGGAAUUUGGCCUAAGAUAUACACUUGUGAUGCGUGGGUCGGCUAAUAUCUAUGUUAAUUACCACCUGGAGACUACCUAGAGCAGCAUAAUUAGCAGCCCUUCGUUUAUGUAUUCAGGCUUUGUUUAUACAUAUCUUAUUAUAGAAUUACAAUUAUCAGGAGGUCUCACUCUCAACCUAAGAAGUUACGUUAACAGACAAAAUAAACAGACACAUUAUUCCAAACUUUCUUUAAUUGUGAGAGAAAAUAAACUUUCAACAGUAACUUACUUUGAUAACUCACCUUCAUUUUCUUACCUGAACUUGUAGGUCAAACGCACACAUGGCUGUGUAUAGUGCUCAUCUUGUGAUGGGGUUAUUGUGUCACCAUAUGCUUGUUCCCCCGGUCACCUCAGGCAAUGUUUGAUGUGCCCCCCCCCCCCUCACAUUAACUGCUCCACAAGUAUUCAAGAAACAUUCAUUUUAUUUGAUGCUGCUCUGCUGCUCUGCCUAUGUUGCCCAUCCAAGCUAUGACUGAUUUCACCGCAGCUGAAGGACUAAACCGAGCCUCAUGCGGAAGUUCAAGCUAAUUCAAGCUGGAACCUUUCACUUUAGCCUGGACUCAUUUAAUCCACUUUGAUAAAACACACCACAACCUGGGGUCAUAUCACACAUGGCUCGCAAAGGAUAACAAAAACUGCAGGAACACUUAGGAGCCAAAUGGCAAGAAGGAAAGCAAACAUUCCCAGAUCAAAGCGACGGAGAAACAAACGUAUGCUCCACAGCCCUGAACUCACACUCACUUUUAUCUGUCUUUGCUUAUUUUAUUUACAACAUAUUAUUAAACCACACACAAAAAACACUACAUUACACUGUAGAAUGGACGUAGCCUGGGAGACCCAUGUCCAAAUACACUGGAUGAGUGUGCGUGCGUGCACUUAAACAUAUGUUUCAGAUCGUCGUUUCCUGUGUGAGGGGCAGAAGCAGCUCUCUGACGGUGCUGCUGACAUCAGAGAGGGAAUCCUGCGGCUUCUUCCUGACGUGACAUCUGGAGCAUCUGCUGUGACCUGUAAACUUCCACUGCAUCAUGCCGGCUCACUAGUGAACAUGCAUCUAAUCCAGCCUGACUGGAAAAAGAAUAGGAAAUAAUCUAGAAUGGGGAGGACACUGACGCUGCUUCCUGCCUGAGGUACGAGGCACCGACCACGUCAAAGAGGGAGAUUACACAACGUCUCUGAUGUCUUGCUCAUGGUGAAAGUUUGAGCCGAGUCACUCUCUACUGUCACUUCAUGUCAUCACUGGCUCAGCAGCUGAGUCAGACUCGGGUGGGAACUCCUGAACAGAACCUCAGGUUGUCUCCUUCAACAUGAUAGGAUGUUGAUUUGUUCAAACAGACUUGCAGGGCAAGGUUCCGUUAGCUGAAUCAGAAAAUGAGAGGAAAUCACUAGUUUAAAGUUAUCCCAUUUUUUCAUGUAAAGAGGCUCGAGUCCAAGUAAAGUCACACAUCAUUGUUGCUAUUAAAGUCCAAGUCGAGUCUUGGGCUCCCAACUCUGCUGCGUGUCAACAUGAAUCUGUUAUAAACUGUUAUCGGCAGGACCCAACAGGUUUUCUAAUUUAAUUCAGAAUGUGACUCACUUCAUUCUCGUUGCUCACUUUACCUUCAGGUCAAUAAAUCCUACAUGACUUCUGUUCUAAAUUACUGAAAAUCUGACUCCAGAUGGAAGCAGGGUGCAUCUCUGCAGAGCAGCGUGUGGUUAUUUACUCAGUAUAGCAGGUCUCUGGUGCAGGUUCAUGUGUGGACUCAGCAUGGGGCAGCAGUCAGGCCAUCUGCAGGAUGGAUUUAGGGUGUAGGGGUGGAGGUAAAGGCCAAAAGAGGAGGGUUUGACUUAGUGCAUCCAUCUGCGCUGUCCCAUGUGCCCUGGGACAGCUGGGGCUGAAUCUCAAGGAAUCAGGAUGUUUUCACACCUGGGGAAUUUAUGGAUCCUGCUGAGAAAAUAAGACGUGCGUGCAUGAGUGCAUGUGUGUGUGUGUGUUUCUUACAUGUGUAUGUACUUACCUCCACAUGCUCAUAAGUGGACGCACUGUCAGGGGAUCGGUGGGAAAACAGAACUGAAUAAAGACGAAAAGAAUAAAAA